AUUAAUUCUUAAAAAAAAGAUCAAAUGAAUGAGGAAUCAAUCAAAAUAUCAAUAAAUACAGAGAAAAAAUUACCAGAAGGUUUAGAGUGCCUAUGUGAAAAUUUGAUGUGUGGAUGCAAUACACAGUAUAUAUCCCCAAACCAGAAGGCAACACUGAAGUUAAUACGGUCUUGAGCUUCUGAAAGCUCACCUCACCAUCAUCGGACCAUCAGAACGGAACACUCUUAAUUGCUUGCGCUCCGCUCAAUUUGCUCUAUUUUUCGAUUCGUCUCUUCUAUACCUUCGAUGGUAUAAGAGAAAAGUAUAAAGACAAAAGUUGUGAUAAUUAGACAUUUUAAGAAGAGAUAUUCAGAAAAGUAUAAGGCACUCAAUAAUGUCUGCGUUUGGUGAAUGUGAUUUGUAAGUCGCAAUCAACAAAUACGAUUUACUCCGUUGCUCGAUAAUUUAAAUCUCCUCGAAUGGUAACUCCUUAUAUAUAUAAUCAACGAUUUCCAAUUUCUUUAAUAAGUAGAUCAAGUUAUUGUUGCUCUUUUUUAGAUACAUAUAAAUUCUCCGAACAAAAAUGACUUAAGAAGUGUUUCUCCUCUGAUUGUAACCCCUUAUAUAAUCAACAACUGUCUAUCUUUUUGAUGAAUAUAAAACCUUAUUGUUGCUCUUUGAUAAAUAUAGUUUCAAGUGUGUUAAAUAUUAUUUUUUAUCAGUUGAAUUUUCUUAGGCACUUAAUAAAUGUGUGUAUGAUAUAUUGAGGAAUAACUCAUUAUUAUACAACAAUAAUAAUAACAUACCUAAUAAUAUCCCACACUGUGGGAUCAAUAACUCAUUAUUAUGUAUGAGAAAAAAUUCUGUUUUUUUAAAGCUUAUUCUCUAUCCGAAAAUUAUAAAUGAAGAGCUAAGAUUUUGAGGAAAAAAUUAUAUAUAACAAAUAAUGAAAUUUGUUAUUUUUUUCAAUUUGACAGGUCAAUUUGAAAAUUAUAUGUAACAAAUUGUAACUGGUUAUAAUGUAACAAAAUAUUAAUAGGCGAAUAACCAAUUAUAUGUAACAAAAUAGGUGACAUAUUCAAAUUGGCCGACUUUGUUUACAUAUUCAAAUUGUAAAUAGUUGCAGCUUAGCAUUUCCACGAUUUAACUUAUUGCAUUGUACUUUAUUAUACCUCUUUCAGAGAAUAAAAUUGAUGUUUAUGAUUAUGCAUUAUGAUGAACUCCAAAAACUUCGCACCAAAAUAAUUAGACAAGAAACUCAUGUGCGUGUACAAUCUAUCCUAGAAAGUGUAUGAUGUAUGAAUUUAUAUAAGUUUUAUUCAAAUGAUAAAAUUAGAUUUUUAGAUCAUUUAAAUUGCAACUGCAAGUAAGUUUGAAUAUUAAAUAUCAAUUAAUAAACCUGGAAAGAUCUAAGAUAGAAAAUCUGUUGAGGUAUAAUGAGUUUCAUAUGCUUUUUAAUUACAUUAUCGUUCCAGCAAAUUAGUUGGAUCGUAGCUCAUUAAUUACCCGAAAUUCUUAAAACAAAAAUAUAAACAACAAAUUAAAUGACACUACAUUUACAUGUUUCCAAUUGUAAAAUUUUCAAACUAGUUACCUUCAAAAUCAAGUUUUUGGACAACAUUAAAGCAAAAAUAAAAGCUCCAUUUUUUAAAAAACAAAUUGGGCUAUGAACCAUCUCAAGAAGGAAUAUGAGCAUUUUCUAUGAGAUUCCUAAACAAACAAGUCACCUAAUUUUAGGGCAUAAUUUCUAUACUAUGAUAGUAUAAAAAAUGUAUAUCAUCAGAUCAUGCAUAUUAAAUUACACUGAUAGUGUGUAAAGCCAUUUUGACAUGUAAGUAAGUCUAGUUGAUGAUUAGGACUUCACUAACUUCGCUAAAAAAAUCUGAUAUUUGAAGACGUAAUUCACAUUGACUGAAAAUGAUGUACCCAAAACAAUUGAAGUAUAGACAUUAAGGGAAAAAAUACUGAUUAUUAGGAGUACAUUUUAUAAAGAUGGAUGUACUCUUCAUCAAUGCCUACAAAACAACUAAAGGUAUUGGAAUUGAUGAGAUCCAUUCACUCUUAAUAAAAAAUCUUCUAUUCGAGCCCCGAAAAUGAAGAUAUCUUUGGUAGAGAAUACUUUCUUCCUUUAAUGAAUCAUAUCCGUUAAGAAUCUGAAUUAUUCGGACCAAUAAUACCAAAUACCAAAUGAUUAUACCAAAAAAAGAUACUAACUGAUAAUGAAAAGGAAAAAAAGAGAACAAAAUACCAAAACUGUUAUAAAACAAUAAAAGAAGAAGAGCAUUACGGAGAAAAGUAUAGAGGGAAUUCUUAUUGAAUUUUGGGAUAAAUUAUAAUGAAAUAGAACCCUUCUAUUUAUAGGGAAAAAGUGACUUAGCCACCAAGUAACAACCCUAAAGUCUCUCUAAAAUAUAGUCAUUCACCAUAAAUAAAAUAUUAUUUAUAACACUCCCCCUUGAAUGUCUAUUUAAUAUAUAAUGUGCCUCGUUAAAAUCUUAACUAAAAUAAAAUCUGGUAGGAAAAGAUUCUAGUGAAGGAAAAAGAGGAAACAUAUCUAACAAUACAGUCUUUUGGUUGCCUCGUUAAGACCUUGCAAGAAAAACCCAGUAGGACAAAAUCUUGUAAGGAAAAAAGAGUACAACGCGUAUUAACUCCCCUUGAUGAGAGCAUCAAUUCACAUCCUUGAACCUUCGCAUUCCAAUCUUGUGCACCAUCUUCAAAAUAUCAUUGAUAGAGAUUUGAUACACAAAUCAGUCAUAUUAACUUGAAUGAACAUCAUUCUUGAUAGAUAUAUAAUGUCUUUAUAAACUGCCGUGGAAUGGCCUUUUCAAUAGCUCCAUAGAGGUAAAAAAUUCUCACUAUCACAUUAUCAUGCUUAUAGUUAUAGCAAGAUGCAUUGUGCAUAAAUUGCAUCGAGGAUGUGGUACUUCAAGAUCAAGAAUUGUAUAUGCUUCAAGCAAUUGAAAUCCUUCGGGGAUUAUCAUAUAAGUAUAGUCAAAUAAGUCAUAUAAAUAGACUUCAGAUGCAUAUCAAGUUUUCAUGUCAUGUUAGACAUAUAAAAUAGAUAAAAGUAAUUGCACAUACCAUUGACUUUAUACUUUCAAGUGUUUGAACUACAUGUCCAAAAUUAUACGUCUUUCAUAUGAAACUAAUUCAUUGUUUCUCCAGACUUAAGAUCCUCUUAUGUAUUUUGCGUUAUCAUAUAUGUCGUCGAUAAAUAUUAUAUAUCGGUUCCAAUAUAUUUUUCAUAGAGACAUAACAUAGAGAUCUCUUCAUUCAUUUCUGCUACCUGAACCUCUCCUGAGAUUUUAUAAAGUAUUAUGUCAUGUGAUCUUCUAGAUCACUUGCCUCCUUUAUGAUCAUUUUGAUCAUUUGCUCAUCUUCUUUAUCAAGAAGUUUAUUUGAAACCGAUUUGUCUAUAUGCUUUAAGCGUACCAUAUACUUUGUUCUUCUAGGACUUAAUAGGAGCAUUUUAAGUGAGAAUAUAGUUACUUUCUUUGGGUCAGCAAAUGCGUCUUGUAUACUUUGCAAUAUAUUGCAGAUGAAUUAUCUUUUUAUGAACUUCAAAUUCAUAUUAUCUUAUUCGAGGAUCUAGAUGUAGAAAUGAUAAUUCAUUCCACGUAACUUUUUCUCAACUGUUUAUCUUGUCUCCCCCUCGUGUUAGAAAAACUAACUUGCUUCCUCAACUUUGGGAACUCAUCUUUGUGCAUUGUGGUGUUAACCAAAAUAUACACCGCACAUCAAUAAUAAUAAGAUGAAAUUAUUUGGUUCCUGACUCUGAACCACUUGUGAGGGGAGAAUGUAAUAUACUUUUGAGUAUAAUGUAUGUCAAACUAAUAUAGAUAACUUUGUUCUCAUAAGCAAUAAUUUAACUAUUAAGUGAAGGCACUCAAUAAAUUAUUUUGCUAAACCAGAUGUGAUAUAAACUAACUUAUCAAGAUGAACUGUCUUGAAUAGAAAAUCUGAAAAUUAUGCUCUAAAUUAAAUUAUUGAGCAAGUUACCUCACAAACACCAAGUUGCGGGUAAAUAAUAACCGCACAUGUAACCAUCUCAUAGAUGCAUCUUUAUAAGGUUUACAUGGCAGGUGAAUGAGCUCAUAUUCACCUUUGAUAAAUUUCAUAAUUCAAGGGAUUCAUUCCCAAUUUUAGUUGGUACAAUAAUCGCGAGAACAAGCAAUAUAAGAGAAUUCAUAAAGAAUCUUCUUCAACACUUACCCAUGUUAAUUCUCAUUUAUUUUAUGCAUCUAAAUCAAGAUUGCUCAAUAGGCCAUGCUUGAUAAAAUUGUCUGUAUUAGUAAACUUCAGGUUUACAUCAUGGCAUGUGCAAUUAUGAAUAAACUCCAAGUUUAUUAUGAUAUGAGUUUUUAUAUCAAUAAACUUCUACUUUAUUGUGGUAUUCUUUUGUUUGUGUUGUACAAACUGAAGAAUAAAGCGGGUAGCUUUUCACAUACAUAUCACCCGCUACUACUUGUAGUAAUAUAAGAUAUUGAAAUUUUCCUUUAUUUAUAGUCUCAAUAUAACCAAUCGCUUUUGCGAAUACUUUAGAAACUCAAUAAGUUUCUUUGAGACUUACUACAAUAUAAUGCCUUGUUGAUAAUCAAUUUUGUUCCUCCAAAAUAGUAAUAAUUGGCUCUUCCAGAGCUCUCAAUUAAUUUUGUACUACCACAUAUUCAUCAACAUCUAUAUGGUGAAUAUCUCUUUUAAAGAGAAAGUUAUACCACUAUGGUUAUGGUCAAAAUUAUAUGUAAGACCUGUUUCUUGCAUUACCGUUGUCUUUUAAUAAUCACAUUCCCAAAAUAUUUUGGCGUACAAUAAGUACGUGGCCAAUGACCAUUUACGCCAUAAUAAUGACAUUAUUUUCUUAUUUCCUCUCAAACCUCCUUUUAGAGGUGAGUGUGGUAUAUACAACUAGCACGCUCAUAUUCUUCCAAAAAUAAAUAUGUAUUCAUAAAUCACAUGUUGUCACAUUCACAUCAUGAAUAGACUAUAGUUAUAUAUAUGUGCUUUACAAAAUCUCAUGUCAAAUCGAUGACAAAUAUUACUUUCACAUAGUGAAAGAUUAUUUUGAGAAUACUUAUUGUUCUCAUUACCACAAUGAUGACGAUUAUAAUUUCGUCUAUUGCCAUCGUCCAAAUCCAUUGAUACAUUCAUGGUGAUAAUUUUGUUUCUUUCAGACGUAUCAAAUACUGCUAUCACAUUCUCUUAAGGGAAUGAGAAUGAAGCAAAUUCAAUGGGACAGGUUUUCACUUCUUGUGCUCACAAUCAUACAUGAAUUUGAUCAUGGCAAGACAUAAAAAUUUUACCACUUUUAGUGGUUAUAAUUUCUUACAAACUUUAUUAGAGUUAUAAUCAAAAUUUAUUGUUUUUACUUGUAUUUAAAAUCAAAUUAUAGAAUUUUAAGAAUUCAAAAGAGAAAAAUAAAGUAAAAUACUUACUUUAAAUCCAGAAUUUAAUCAUGAAGGAAGUUCAUGGAACAAUUGGCAAUUAUUAUGCUCAAUCCCAAAGCUUCUACUCAACCCAAAGCUUCUACUCAAUUGGUUAGAGUCUUGUGCUGAUAACGUGUUAUAAAACAAUAAAAGAAGAAGAGUGUUAAAGAGAAAAGUAGAGAGGAAAUUCUUAUUGAACUUUGGGAUAAAUUACAAUGAAAUAGAAUCUCUCUAUUUAUAGGGAAAAAAUAACUUAAUCACCAAGUAAUAACCCUAAAAUCUCUCUAAAAUAUAGACAUUCACAUAAGAUAAUAUUUGUAACAAAAACAAGGAAUCUCACGAUAUAUAUUCGAAGGCAAACAAAUGAAGAAAAUAGUCAAAAAUGCGUACAUUUGUUUAAAACUCAUGAUCGAUCCAUUAUUUCUGGAACUGGGCUCUCUGUAACGCUUUCUAAAGAUGGUUUCCACUUAGAAUCUCUUCUUUCUCUUCUUCUUUUUAUUUCUCCCAAACAAUCAUCUAAAUUUUUUCCGUCUUUGAGUUUCAACUGAAGCAAUAACUUUUCUAGCUCUUCUUUACUCAAAACAAUCUUUAUUCUCAUACUAUUAUUUCCUUUUAUCUCUGUUUCUGUUUUUGCCUUGAGAAUUUCACUUGUUUUUUCCUCUGUUUCUAGUUCUUGAAUACUUUCCUCUAUUUCUUCCCUUCGUAAACAUGCUUCCAUGCAAUUUCCCAUUAUAUUGGAAACACUGGUAAAUCGUUCUUUCUUCUAAGAAAUGGAUUUUUUUAAAUAGUAAUUUGCUGUUUCUGAGCUGAAAGAAGAGGAAGAAAAAGCAGCCAAAACCAAUAAUUUUGAGAGAGAGAGAGAAAAGAGAAAAUUUUGAAGUGUUAACUAUAGUGCAUGUGAUGGUGAUUAGACUUCAUAUAUAGAAAGAAUAAACACGUAUUGAAUAAAAUAUUGUAUUAGUUAAUUAAUACGAGGGACUUUGCUUUUUUGUUAUGAUCAUCUCAUAGCGAGAAUUACUACACAAACUAAUUUAAAUUCGUG
rnacentral:lncRNA from 1 species